AGUUUGAUUAAGAGUUCACUCCCUGAAGGUUCAAUAAAUGGUUUACAAACUGCCCUGCUUCAUCAGAAGAGUUGGAAGAUUCCAGCACAAGGCUACUGAGAAUUCAUAUGCAGAUCUGAGUCCUCAUCUACAAUUUCAAAUGACCCAUCUUCUGAUAUGUGGAAAGUUGCUGGUGGGUACAGCUCUGGAACAAAAAGUAUGAGAACUGUUACAAGGUGUGGACAGAAAGAGGAGUACUUUAAUCUUUUAUAAUGAAGAAGCUACAAUUGUCUUAGUAUGGAAUUUACUUCAGCCAGAACAGUUUGGGUCAGCAUUAGCUCCAUGUAAGAGCCUUCAUUAUAAAGGUCUUUGUGACUAACCUUCGGGAAAGCAGAUCAUCAAGCCAAAAGUACACUGUUCUGGAAUUUACUAUACUGCCUGUGCACCCCAAACUCUGCCUUAUUGUGCUGUUGGUGUUAUCAACUGAACUGAGGAGCAGGAUGCAAUGCAGUAUAGAAGAAGCAGGCAGAAUGUAAACCUGACACUACACCUUAGCAAGAUCCACAACUCACUUCCACAUGACACAAGCCCCAGCUGCCAAUGUCAUUUGUGGUACCUGCGCUGCACGGUGCCCAUGGAGGAAACAUGAUUCUAUUAAUGAAGUAUCGAGGAAUUUUGUAGAAAUGUGUCUAUUAUGCUAACCACUCCUGUCAGCCUGUUUCAAAAUCCCACCCUCUACUUCUCAAAACACGUACCAUACGGGAUGAAGGGGCGGUCACUUGGUGGAUGCAGUAGAAAAUGUUUCUCUCCCGAAAUCACACAGUACACAUUUUCAUAAUGGUCUUUAUGCACUAUGAUUGGGGAAAAAUUGAGGACCUACUUAAGCAUCAUGAAGUAUAUUAAAGAGAAAUGUUUCAAAA